AAGAGAUCGGGAUAACACCUGGAAACAGAUGCUAAUACCGGAUAACAACAGAUGAUGCCUAUCAACUGUUUAAAAGAUGGUUCUGCUAUCACUCUUGGAUGGACCUGCGGUGCAUUAGCUAGUUGGUAGGGUAACGGCCUACCAAGGCGAUGAUGCAUAGCCGAGUUGAGAGACUGAUCGGCCACAUUGGGACUGAGACACGGCCCAAACUCCCUACGGGAGGCAGCAGCU
rnacentral:rRNA from 1 species